GUCCGUGUGGCGCAAUGGUAGCGCGUUGGACUUCUACAUUUGCUGUUUACGUAAGUUGGAGUGUAUCCAAAGGCUGUGGGUUCGAGCCCCACCACGGAUG